UACGGGGGGAGCAAGCGUUGUUCGGAUUUACUGGGCGUAAAGGGCGCGUAGGCGGCCAGCACAAGUCAGUUGUGAAAUCUCCGAGCUUAACUCGGAAAGGUCAACUGAUACUGUGCGGCUAGAGUGCGGAAGGGGCAACUGGAAUUCUUGGUGUAGCGGUGAAAUGCGUAGAUAUCAAGAGGAACACCUGCGGCGAAGGCGGGUUGCUGGGCCGACACUGACGCUGAUGCGCGAAAGCCAGGGAGCGAACGGG
rnacentral:rRNA from 1 species